rnacentral:rRNA from 1 species
UACGGAGGGUGCAAGCGUUAUCCGGAUUCACUGGGUUUAAAGGGUGCGUAGGAGGGCAGGUAAGUCAGUGGUGAAAUCUCCAAGCUUAACUUGGAAACUGCCGUUGAUACUAUCUGUCUUGAAUGUUGUGGAGGUGAGCGGAAUAUGUCAUGUAGCGGUGAAAUGCUUAGAUAUGACAUAGAACACCAAUUGCGAAGGCAGCUCACUACACAAUUAUUGACUCUGAGGCACGAAAGCGUGGGGAUCAAACAGG